AGGCAGUCAAGUCUCUUACGUUUGAGGU
rnacentral:piRNA from 1 species